CUGAGAGACCGAUAGUGAACCAGUACUGUGAAGGAAAGGUGAAAAGUACUCCGAACAGGAGGGUGAAAUAGAACCUGAAACCGUACGCUUACAAGCGGUGGGAGCUUCGUAAUGGAGUGACCGCGUGCCUUUUGCAUAAUGAGCCUACGAGUUACUGUCACUGGCGAGGUUAACCCCGUAGACGGGGGCAGCCGGAGCGAAAGCGAGUCUGAAUAGGGCGCACAGUCAGUGGGAGUAGACGCGAAACUUUGUGAUCUACCCUUGGCCAGGAUGAAGUUAGGGUAACACCUGAUGGAGGUCCGAACUAGUAAACGUUGAAAAGUUUUUGGAUGAGCUGAGGGUAGGGGUGAAAGGCUAAUCAAACUGAGAAAUAGCUCGUACUCCCCGAAAUGCCUUUAGGGGCAGCGUGAGGGUUAAGUUUAACACAGGUAGAGCUACCAAUUGGACUAGGGGGAGUCACAUCCUACCAAAUCCAGAUGAACUCCGAAUGGUGUUAAAUAUACCUUGCAGUGAGGGCAUGGGUGCUAAGGUCCGUGUCCGAGAGGGAAAGAACCCAGAUCUACAGCUAAGGUCCCAAAAUGUACACUAAGUUGAACUAAGGCGGUUCAGUUGCCUAGACAGCCAGGAUGUUUGCUUGGAAGCAGCAAUUCAUUUAAAGAGUGCGUAACAGCUCACUGGUCGAGCGACAGAGCAUCGAUAAUAAUCGGGCAUCAAGUAUAGUACCGAAGCUUGGGAUUUAUCCGCCAUCUGGCGGAUGAGUGGUAGGGGAGCAUUCUAUUCCGCGGAGAAGCAGUCUGGUAAUGGAUUGUGGAGCGUAUAGAAAAGCAAAUGUAGGCAUAAGUAACGAUAAGGCGGGUGAGAAACCCGCCCACCGAUAGACUAAGGAUUCCGCGGCAAUGCUAAUCAACCGCGGGUAAGUCGGGACCUAAGGCGAAGCCGAGAGGCGUAGUCGAUGGACAACCGGUUAAUAUUCCGGUACUACCGUUAUAAGCGAAGUGGAGAAGGAGGAGUGACAGCUCCGCGAACUGACGAAAUAGUUCGUUGAAAGGCGUAGGUAUAGGCCGUGCAGGAAAAUCCGCAUGGUUUGCUGAAACCCAAUAGUACCUGGAGGCUUCGGCCAAAGGGAUAGAGAGCGUAAGCAGACUUCCAAGAAAACCCGCUAGCGUUAAUUAUAAAGGUACCCGUACCGCAAACCGACACAGGUAGUCAAGGAGAGAAUCCUGAGGUGCUCGAGUGAAUCAUGGCUAAGGAACUCGGCAAAUUAACCCUGUAACUUCGGGAGAAGGGGUGCCUAAUUUCUAGCAAUAGAGAAAGGUCGCAGAGAAAUGGCCCAGGCGACUGUUUAACAAAAACACAUGGCUUUGCGAAAUCGCAAGAUGAAGUAUAAGGCCUGACACCUGCCCGGUGCUGGAAGGUUAAGGGGGGACGUUAGUGGGUAACUGCGAAGCGUUGAACUGAAGCCCCAGUAAACGGCGGCCGUAACUAUAACGGUCCUAAGGUAGCGAAAUUCCUUGUCGGGUAAGUUCCGACCUGCACGAAUGGUGUAACGAUCUGGGCACUGUCUCAGCCAUGAGCUCGGUGAAAUUGUAGUCACGGUGAAGAUGCCGUGUACCCG
rnacentral:rRNA from 1 species